AAAUUGAAGAGUUUGAUCAUGGCUCAGAUUGAACGCUGGCGGCAGGCCUAACACAUGCAAGUCGAACGGUAACAGGAAGAAGCUUGCUUCUUUGCUGACGAGUGGCGGACGGGUGAGUAAUGUCUGGGAAACUGCCUGAUGGAGGGGGAUAACUACUGGAAACGGUAGCUAAUACCGCAUAACGUCGCAAGACCAAAGAGGGGGACCCUCGGGCCUCUUGCCAUCGGAUGUGCCCAGAUGGGAUUAGCUUGUUGGUGGGGUAACGGCUCACCAAGGCGACGAUCCCUAGCUGGUCUGAGAGGAUGACCAGCCACACUGGAACUGAGACACGGUCCAGACUCCUACGGGAGGCAGCAGUGGGGAAUAUUGCACAAUGGGCGCAAGCCUGAUGCAGCCAUGC
rnacentral:rRNA from 1 species